CCGAACCGACUAAUGUUGAAAAAUUAGCGGAUGACCUGUGGCUGGGGGUGAAAGGCCAAUCAAACCGGGAGAUAGCUGGUUCUCCCCGAAAGCUAUUUAGGUAGCGCCUCGUGAAUUCAUCUCCGGGGGUAGAGCACUGUUUCGGCUAGGGGGCCAUCCCGGCUUACCAACCCGAUGCAAACUGCGAAUACCGGAGAAUGUUAUCACGGGAGACACACGGCGGGUGCUAACGUCCGUCGUGAAGAGGGAAACAACCCAGACCGCCAGCUAAGGUCCCAAAGUCAUGGUUAAGUGGGAAACGAUGUGGGAAGGCCCAGACAGCCAGGAUGUUGGCUUAGAAGCAGCCAUCAUUUAAAGAAAGCGUAAUAGCUCACUGGUCGAGUCGGCCUGCGCGGAAGAUGUAACGGGGCUAAACCAUGCACCGAAGCUGCGGCAGCGACACUGUGUGUUGUUGGGUAGGGGAGCGUUCUGUAAGCCUGUGAAGGUGUGUCGUGAGGCAUGCU
rnacentral:rRNA from 2 species